AAGUCGUAACAAGGUCUCCGUAGGUGAACCUGCGGAGGGAUCAUUACCGAGUGAGCGCCUCCGGGCGCGACCUCCAACCCUUUUGUGAUUACACCUCUGUUGCCUCGGGGUGACCCGGCCCCGCCUGGCCCCCGAAGGACGAUUAGACCCAACUCUGCAUCUUUGCGUCGGAUUUGAAUAAGUUAAUUGAUGAAAACUUUCAACAACGGAUCUCUUGGUUCUGGCAUCGAUGAAGAACGCAGCGAAAUGCGAUAAGUAAUGUGAAUUGCAGAAUUCAGUGAAUCAUCGAGUUUUUGAACGCACACUGCGCCCCUUGGUAUUCCGGGGGGCAUGCCCGUUCGAGCGUCAUUACACCCAUCGAGCCUGGCUCGGUAUUGGACCCCGGGGGUGACCCGGAUCCCAAAUGUUGUCGGCUGGAAAGCUCUGAUCUCCGCGUCGUGGAAUCCAUUCGCAGAUGAAAAGAGUGACUUAGCCAAGUAAAACGUUCAUUCAAGGUUGACCUCGGAUCGGGUAGGAACACCCGCUGAACUUAA
rnacentral:rRNA from 1 species